rnacentral:rRNA from 1 species
GACGAACGCUGGCGGCGUGCCUAAUACAUGCAAGUAGAACGCACAGUUUAUACCGUAGCUUGCUACACCAUAGACUGUGAGUUGCGAACGGGUGAGUAACGCGUAGGUAACCUGCCUGGUAGCGGGGGAUAACUAUUGGAAACGAUAGCUAUUACCGCAUAAUAUUAAUUAUUGCAUGAUAAUUAAUUGAAAGGUGCAAUUGCACCACUACCAGAUGGCCCUGCGUUGUAUUAGCUAGUAGGUGAGUUAACGGCUCACCUAGGCGACGAUACAUACCCGACCUGAGAGGGUGAUAGGCGAAACUGAGACGGGGACACGGCCCAGACUACUGCGGGAGGCAGCAGGAGGGAAUCUUCGGGAAUGGACGAAAGUCUGAACGAGGAACGCCGCGUGGGUGAAGAAGGUAUUCGGAUCGUAAAGCUCUGUUGUAAGAGAAGAACGGGUGGGAGAGUGGAAAGUGCACACUGUGACGGUAUCUUACCAGAAAGGGACGGCUAACUACGUG